AAGAUGGUUCCAAAUCCAAAAUGUAUAAAUUGAUAUUUUGGUUUAUUCAUAUGGACACUUGUUGAUCACCCUUCUAAUGUUGGCAUAAUUGCAGUUUUCUGUUCUUGGCUGUAUUGCUGUAUGAGGUUAACAAAAUCUCAGGAUCAGUGCUUUCAGUUCAAACAAGCGACUCCAGAAGUAAGAAGUAUAGUGGGAGAGCUCUCUGCAGACACGGCAUAGUUGCCUUCAGGGAUGAUACUAGGCUCUGAAAGGAGGACCUAUAUCAGCAGGCCUUCUGGAAGCUAUUGAAGGAUCACAGAUUACUGAUAACUUGGAACAAAGACUUUACAAGAAUUUACGUAAUGAAAACUUGGCUUCAGUGAACGUUAGUCUUGUGUAUAUAUAAAGAAUUGUUAUAGUUGUAUAUUUAUAGUUAAAAAAUCAUGUUAUGUUUGAUACUUUGUAUACGAAUUAUUUUUUUAUUUCCAAUACUAAAAAAUCAUAUAUUAUGUUUAAUACUUUGUUCAUGAGCUAUAUAAUAUUUUGUUUAUAGA